rnacentral:rRNA from 1 species
CCCCUAAAAAACUACGUCUCAGUUCGGAUUGCAGGCUGCAACCCGCCCUGCAUGAAGCCGGAAUUGCUAGUAAUCGCGGAUCAGCAUGCCGCGGUGAAUACGUUCCCGGGCCUUGUACACACCGCCCGUCACACCAUGGGAGUCGGUAACACCCGAAGCCUGUGAGCUGACCGCAAGGAGGCAGCAGCCGAAGGUGGAUUCGAUGAUUGGGGUUAAGUCGUAACAAGGUAAC